rnacentral:rRNA from 1 species
UAUUUAGCCGUCGCUUCUUCUGCAGGUACCGUCAUUUUUUCUUCCCUGCUGAAAGCACUUUACGAUCCGAAAACCUUCAUCGUGCACACAGAAUUGCUGGAUCAGGCUUGUGGCCCAUUGUCCAAUAUUCCCC